rnacentral:lncRNA from 1 species
AAACAGAUUUCCAUAAAGAAAAGCUGCUUUAGAGUGCUACACUGUAAGAGGGGCUGGGCAAACAAGAAGGGACGGAGGAAAGACCACCAAGUGAGAGGCACAGGUGUCAGGACAAACAGAGAGCCCGAAAACGAGGCAGAGUUUGGCUGCUGUAACUGACUGGGAAGCUUAAAAUAACAGACAAUCAUCUCUCACAUUUAUGGGGACUGGGAAGUCCAAGACCAAGUUGCCAUCUGGGGAGGGCCUGUUCCUCACAGCGCCUUCCAGCUCAGGCCUCGUUUAUAAGGGCACUCAUCCCUUCCACGACAACGGGUCCUCAUGACUUACUCACCUCGGAAAGCCCCCACCCCCAAGACCAUCACAUUGUGGGUGAGGAUUUCAACAUGAGAAUUUGGGGGCUGCAAACAAUUACACCAUGGCAGAGCAUAAGGUGCCUUCCCCACGUGCUCGGGUUGACCCAACGUCUCACGCUAGCAGCUACGUGGAAUAGUUAUUUUUUCUGGAGAACUCGGGGACCCCUCUGAUGUCUUGGAGCACCCACACAGGCCGU